rnacentral:rRNA from 1 species
GACAGAGGCCUCAAGCGUUAGGCGGAAUCACUGGGCUUAAAGCGUGUGUAGGCGGAUCGUUAAGUGUCUUGUGAAAUCCCACGGCUCACCCGUGGAACGGCUGGGCAUACUGGCGAUCUUGGGCCAUCUAGGGGCUAGCGGAACAAACGGUGGAGCGGUGAAAUGCGUAGAUAUCGUUUGGAACGCCAAUGGUGAAAACAGCUAGCUGGGGAUGUGCCGACGGCUGAGACACGAAAGCCAGGGGAGCGAACGGG